UUCAGUUUGCUUGCAAACUGGAGAUGGCGACCGGCGCACGGGUGAGUAACACGUAUCCAACCUGCCGAUAACUCGGGGAUAGCCUUUCGAAAGAAAGAUUAAUACCCGAUGGUAUAAUCAGACCGCAUGGUCUUGUUAUUAAAGAAUUUCGGUUAUCGAUGGGGAUGCGUUCCAUUAGGCAGUUGGUGAGGUAACGGCUCACCAAACCUUCGAUGGAUAGGGGUUCUGAGAGGAAGGUCCCCCACAUUGGAAAUGAGACACGGUCCAAACUCCUACGGGAGGCAGCAGUGAGGAAUACUGGUCAAUGGGCGCAGGCCUGAACCAGCCAAGUAGCGUGAAGGAUGACUGCCCUAUGGGUUGUAAACUUCUUUUAUAUGGGAAUAAAGUUUUCCACGUGUGGAAUUUUGUAUGUACCAUAUGAAUAAGGAUCGGCUAACUCCGUGCCAGCAGCCGCGGUAAUACGGAGGAUCCGAGCGUUAUCCGGAUUUAUUGGGUUUAAAGGGAGCGUAGGUGGACAGUUAAGUCAGUUGUGAAAGUUUGCGGCUCAACCGUAAAAUUGCAGUUGAUACUGGCUGUCUUGAGUACAGUAGAGGUGGGCGGAAUUCGUGGUGUAGCGGUGAAAUGCUUAGAUAUCACGAAGAACU
rnacentral:rRNA from 1 species